GCGCUAAUAGCUCAGUUGGGAGAGCGUCAGACUGAAGUUAUUCGGUCCUAUCCAAUAUCCGGGGUAAUCUGAAGGUCACCCGUUCAAUCCGGGUUUGGCGCA
rnacentral:tRNA from 1 species